AGUGAACGCUGGCGGUAGGCCUAACACAUGCAAGUCGAACGGCAGCACAGUAAGAGCUUGCUCUUACGGGUGGCGAGUGGCGGACGGGUGAGGAAUACAUCGGAAUCUACUUUUUCGUGGGGGAUAACGGAGGGAAACUUACGCUAAUACCGCAUACGACCUACGGGUGAAAGCAGGGGAUCUUCGGACCUUGCGCGAUUGAAUGAGCCGAUGUCGGAUUAGCUAGUUGGCGGGGUAAAGGCCCACCAAGGCGACGAUCCGUAGCUGGUCUGAGAGGAUGAUCAGCCACACUGGAACUGAGACACGGUCCAGACUCCUACGGGAGGCAGCAGUGGGGAAUAUUGGACAAUGGGCGCAAGCCUGAUCCAGCCAUACCGCGUGGGUGAAGAAGGCCUUCGGGUUGUAAAGCCCUUUUGUUGGGAAAGAAAAGCAGCAGGUUAAUACCUCGCUGUCCUGACGGUACCCAAAGAAUAAGCACCGGCUAACUUCGUG
rnacentral:rRNA from 1 species